UCUACUGUUGUGGCCCUGCUGCACCAAAGGAUAAAGCCACAUCCUUACUUUUAGCAACCUGACUCCUCUGGCCUGAGAACCUGUGCUCAGAACAAGCUUGGGAGUAGCCAAGGCACAGAUCUGUACAAGAAGGAAGAUUCUGACCCUGCCUAUGAAGAUUAAAGACUCCACAAAAGUACCACUGUCAACAGUGUUUCAGCGAUUCCAACAAAAUAAUUUAGAAGUUCAAGCACAAAACACUUACUGUUGGUUCCAGUAUGACAAACUGCAUAUGGUACAGUGCAUAUGGCUGGUAAGCCCAGCCACUGAGAAGUGAGCUCUAUGAAAUGCAGCUUGGAAUCUGA